AAGUAACUACCGCGUUGGUGACUGCCAACAACGUUUUUUGAUCUAUGCUUGAAAAAUAAGGGUGUCUCUGUGCAUUCUGCGUGGUAGUAGACCGGGCUCGUACCCGGAAACGAAAACGAGAAUUGAUGACUCCCCCCUGGUUACACCAGGUCAUAAACUGAGGUAAAACGGCGUGGUGGUGCUUCU
rfam:Synechocystis sp. PCC 6803 DNA, complete genome.